UAAAAACGAGGUGUUAUUACAGACAAAAAAAGGAUGCUGCUUCUUCUUUCUACAAAUGGAGACUCGACCAGCAAAAACGAGCAAGAUUCAUCCAACGCUAAGAAAAGUCCCGGCAGUUCCCACAAUCACGAUGAAACGAAGAAUCUAAACCACGCCUUGACGCGGAUGCUUCUGCUGCAGCGGAAGCUGGGUGUUCUGACAUUAUAAAUAGGAAGACCAAUGACGUUACCCGCGGGUCCAUAAUUACAGAUUAAUCUCAAGGUGUUCAUCUGACGUCCAGUGUCCCAAAAUCUAACUCUUCCGCAUCCGAUCAAGGACGUGUUCGCCCAAACUAAUUGAGUGUAGUGACCCGUCUCGUGCGCAAACCUGCAAAAACGUAAUUCAGAUUUAGGAGAAAAAAUUUAUCAGAUUUUGAGAAAGCAAAAAAUACUGCGAGACUUUCCAGUGUCUUCAUGUCGGUAGCCGCAGGCUGAGGUCCAGGAUUUCCUCGGGUUUCUCUGCCCUCCGCGACAUUCGUCCUCAACUCAUUAUGUUUGUCGACGAGGGACUGGAUUUCGCUGCUCGUCAAAGAUUCGUACUUGACAGAGGUCGAAGAUGCCUAGUUCUCCGCAAUACGGUUCGACUUUCAACUACUUUACCUACGUUGUGCUGAAGAAUUCGUAAACAAAUGACCAUUAUUGCGUGACGGAACCAAAUCAGUACAUCAACGAGUCUUUCUAAAGAUCGACUCCUCUCCAUCCUGUUCCGGUAGAGAUGGAUCUGCAACACAUGAGACGUACUAUUCCUUUUUUUGCGGAGGUAUGUUUCGUUUAAUGUAUCCCUUUCUAGAGUCCCUAGCAUAUUUCAACAUUCAGAGUCCGCGUAUAUAAAUUGCACCCCCUUGGAAAAAAUUAUCAAAAUCCUCCUCAUAAAAUCAGAUCACCCAGCAUUGCCCAAUAGACUGGGUAAAUUCAUACUCCCUCAUAAUAAAAUUCAUCAGACACGCCAAUAAGGCAAGACAAUAAUUUAUUAUCAUAUAACUUAGUACAAUUUAUUAUAAUUCGAACGUCUUAUACUUAUAUACUGACCAUAAAAUAAGUCAUACAUUAGGUAAGUUUUGUAAUCAGUUGACUAAUUGUUUAUUUGUUAUUUAUGUUACAGGUCGCAGUUUCUCCAACGUCGUUGCCCGGACUCCCCCUGUUCAUCG